rnacentral:miRNA from 14 species
CUAUCUUAAAGUAUGUAUUAAAGAUUAGGGUCAUCGCUUCUCGGCCUUUUGGCUAAGAUCAAGUGUAAAGAUUAGGGUCAGUGAGUCUGCUUACUGGGUAAAGGCGACUGCUGUGCAAACUUGGUGACCUGAG